GACGAACGCUGGCGGCGUGCUUAACACAUGCAAGUCGAACGGAAAGGCCCUGCUUUUGUGGGGUGCUCGAGUGGCGAACGGGUGAGUAACACGUGAGUAACCUGCCCUUGACUUUGGGAUAACUUCAGGAAACUGGGGCUAAUACCGGAUAGGAGCUCCUGCUGCAUGGUGGGGGUUGGAAAGUUUCGGCGGUUGGGGAUUGACUCGCGGCUUAUCAGCUUGUUGGUGGGGUAGUGGCUUACCAAGGCUUUGACGGGUAGCCGGCCUGAGAGGGUGACCGGCCACAUUGGGACUGAGAUACGGCCCAGACUCCUACGGGAGGCAGCAGUGGGGAAUAUUGCACAAUGGGCGGAAGCCUGAUGCAGCAACGCCGGGUGCGGGAUGACGGCCUUCGGGUUGUAAACCGCUUUCGCCUGUGACGAAGCGUGAGUGACGGUAAUGGGUAAAGAAGCACCGGCUAACUACGUU
rnacentral:rRNA from 1 species